rnacentral:tRNA from 1 species
GCGGGUAGCGGGAAUCGAACCCGCAUCGUUAGCUUGG